GUGAGAGGGAACAGUAGGUGAGGGGUACAGUAGGUGAGAGGUGAGGGGUUACAGUAGGUGAGAGGUGAGGGGUUACAGUAGGUGAGAGGUGAGAGGGAACAGUAGGUGAGAGGUGAGAGGGAACAGUAGGUGAGAGGUGAGAGGGUACAGUAGGUGAGAGGUGAGGGGUUACAGUAGGUGAGAGGUGAGAGGUAACAGUAGGUGAGAGGUGAGGGGUUACAGUAGGUGAGAGGUGAGAGGGAACAGUAGGUGAGAGGUGAGAGGUAACAGUAGGUGAGAGGUGAGAGGUAACAGUAGGUGAGAGGUGAGAGGUGAGGGGUAACAG
ensembl:lncRNA